rnacentral:rRNA from 1 species
UACGUAGGCAGCGAGCGUUGUUCGGAAUUACUGGGCGUAAAGGGCGCGUAGGCGGCCUACUAAGUCGGACGUGAAAUCCCUCGGCUCAACCGGGGAACUGCGUCCGAUACUGGUGGGCUUGAAUCCGGGAGAGGGAUGUGGAAUUCCAGGUGUAGCGGUGAAAUUCGUAGAUAUUCGGAGGAACACCAGUGGCGAAGGCGGCUCACUGGUCCAUUACUGACGCUGAGGUGCGAAAGCGUGGGGAGCAAACAGG